UUGCUUCCAAAGCACAUAUAUUACAAUUUGAACAACAUAGGGAAGAUUAGCAUGGCUCUUGUGCAAGGAUGACAUGCAAAUUCAUGAAGCGUUCCAUAUUUUC